AGUGAACGCUGGCGGUAGGCCUAACACAUGCAAGUCGAACGGCAGCACAGGAGAGCUUGCCCUCUGGGUGGCGAGUGGCGGACGGGUGAGGAAUACAUCGGAAUCUACUCUGUCGUGGGGGAUAACGUAGGGAAACUUACGCUAAUACCGCAUACGACCUACGGGUGAAAGCAGGGGAUCUUCGGACCUUGCGCGAUUGAAUGAGCCGAUGUCGGAUUAGCUAGUUGGCGGGGUAAAGGCCCACCAAGGCGACGAUCCGUAGCUGGUCUGAGGGGGUGAUCAGCAACACUGGAGCUGAGACACGGUCCAGACUGCUACGGGAGGCAGCAGUGGGGAAUAUUGGACAAUGGGCGCAAGCCUGAUCCAGCCAUACCGAGUGGGUGAAGAAGGCCUUCGGGUUGUAAAGCCCUUUUGUUGGGAAAGAAAUCCAGCUGGCUAAUACCCGGUUGGGAUGACGGUACCCAAAGAAUAAGCACCGGCUAACUUCGUGCCAGCCGCCGCGGUAA
rnacentral:rRNA from 1 species